UACGGGAGGCAGCAGUGAGGAAUAUUGGACAAUGGAGGCAACUCUGAUCCAGCCAUGCCGCGUGCAGGAAGACUGCCCUAUGGGUUGUAAACUGCUUUUAUACAGGAAGAAACCUUUCCACGUGUGGGAAGCUGACGGUACUGUAAGAAUAAGGAUCGGCUAACUCCGUGCCAGCAGCCGCGGUAAUACGGAGGAUCCAAGCGUUAUCCGGAAUCAUUGGGUUUAAAGGGUCCGUAGGUUGAUAAUUAAGUCAGAGGUGAAAGUUUGCGGCUUAACCGUAAAAUUGCCUUUGAUACUGGUUAUCUUGAAUCAUUGUGAAGUGGUUAGA
rnacentral:rRNA from 1 species